GUUAAGAUAAGUUAAGUUAAACUCUUAGACUCAUAAUCUAAUAAUAAAAAUAAAUUUUUUUUUAAUA
rnacentral:tRNA from 1 species